GCGGGUAUCGUAUAGUGGUAUUACCUGGCCCUUCCAAGGCCAUGACAGGGGUUCGACUCCCCUUACCCGCU
rnacentral:tRNA from 2 species